rnacentral:tRNA from 1 species
GCCGGAGUGGUGGAAUGGCAGACACGAUGGACUCAAAAUCCAUUGUCAGCAAUGACAUGUGGGUUCAACUCCCACCUCCGGUA